rnacentral:rRNA from 1 species
UACGUAGGGUGCGAGCGUUAAUCGGAAUUACUGGGCGUAAAGCGUGCGCAGGCGGUUUUGUAAGCCAGAUGUGAAAUCCCCGGGCUUAACCUGGGAAUGGCAUUUGGGACUGCAAGGCUCGAGUGCGGCAGAGGAGACUGGAAUUCCUGGUGUAGCAGUGAAAUGCGUAGAUAUCGUAAGGAAGACCAGUGGCGAAGGCGGGUCUCUGGACAGUUCCUGACGCUGAGGCACGAAGGCCAGGGGAGCAAACGGG